AGUGAACGCUGGCGGUAGGCCUAACACAUGCAAGUCGAACGGCAGCACAGUAAGAGCUUGCUCUUACGGGUGGCGAGUGGCGGACGGGUGAGGAAUACAUCGGAAUCUACUUUUUCGUGGGGGAUAACGUAGGGAAACUUACGCUAAUACCGCAUACGACCUACGGGUGAAAGCAGGGGAUCUUCGGACCUUGCGCGAUUGAAUGAGCCGAUGUCGGAUUAGCUAGUUGGCGGGGUAAAGGCCCACCAAGGCGACGAUCCGUAGCUGGGCUGAGAGGAUGAUCAGCCACACUGGAACUGAGACACGGUCCAGACUCCUACGGGAGGCAGCAGUGGGGAAUAUUGGACAAUGGGCGCAAGCCUGAUCCAGCCAUGCCGCGUGGGUGAAGAAGGCCUUCGGGUUGUAAAGCCCUUUUGUUGGGAAAGAAAAGCAGCAGGUUAAUACCCCGCUGUUCUGACGGUACCCAAAGAAUAAGCACCGGCUAACUUCGUG
rnacentral:rRNA from 1 species